ensembl:lncRNA CCDC26 CCDC26 long non-coding RNA
GGCAGAAAACGUGAGGUGGGAAUCAAAUCAUGCUGGGCUUUUUGGCCAGAUGCAGAAACUGAUGCUCAAUCAAAGUAAUAUAACACAUAUAUGACAAAGCCUGGGUUGGAGCAGAGACUUUGAGAGCCCCUGGAUGCAGGCUCCUCGAUGAAAAAGACACUGAGAAAGUAGGACAAGCAAAAACAUUGAAGAGUUGGGUAGAAGAAGAGGGAAGGGAUGUCUCCUGAAAGAUCUAGUGCCCUAAGGAGUGGAUAGCUUUAAUAAUUUUUGUUUCUCUCAACAUGGCUGAUUAAACCCAACCUGAUCUUGAGUAUUGUCUUUCUCUUUGAGAAUUUUCCCCUUCCUGGGUCACAAAUUGACCCUUUUCCAUGUUUCUGGGGAUUCUCUGUGUUAAAGGGAAUAUGAGCCAUUUAUUCAAAUAUGACUGAUUUGCAUGGGAAGCCAGCCUGAAGGAGAACAGUGUAAGCCUGAGAGCACCACCUCCAGUUAAUCACAGCAAUCUGUGACUAUAGCUUAAUCUUUCCAGGGUCCCCAGAGUAGGUCAGCAUCAUGACUACUAAUUUCUGGUCGAUGGAAGUUGCAACUUAAAAUGCUCCAGGAAGGCCUGAGGAGAGAAGACACAUAGUCAUGCUGACUAAACCAGAUCACCUAGAAUUACCAAAUGGAAAGAUUGUGCCUGCAGCCUGGCCUGUUGCCCACAGCGGUCUACCUGCCACACUGGGAAAGAUCGAGCAGAGACAGAGAAGAAAAGGAGGCUCCAUUUUUCAGGCUGCUCUCCCGCAGGCUCAUGUUUUGUGUUCAUGCCAGGCAGAGAACACAAAAUGUUCCAAUAAAUAAGUAUCAAAGGUUAGUGGUGAAAAUGAAGGAGGAGGAGGCAUUGCGUGAAAAACUAAACAUGCAAAAUAUUACACACAAAGAGAACCAAAAUGCAGGUUCACUGGAAAUGAUAGACAAUAUGUUAAAACAAGAGGAGAGAAGAGAGCUGAAAUAAUCAAAUGGAAACACACAAUUUAGGGCUAAGAUCUUGUUGUGUUCAGCCACAAAUGAUGGCCAGCAGUGAGGAAUCUGUGUGUUCUCCACACUCUUCGCUCCUGGGAAGUCAACUCACAUGGACCAUGAUAUCAAUAUCUGCUCCUUCCCCUAAUAUCUGUUUGACCUUGGGUCAGUUACUUAAACUUCCUAAGCCUUAGUUUCUUUGUCUGGAAAAUAGGGAUAGUUAUACCUACCACACAACCACUUUGUAAUGAAUAUGUUGGAAAUUAUAUGCAAAUUGGCUUCCGUUGGUGUUUGGAACAUAGUAGGUUUUUAACUGGAAUAUAAUAGCUACCAUUAUCAGUAUCAUCAUAUUAAUUUAUAUUUCCAUCUUCAGCCCUUAACCCAGGAUCUUCAGUAAAUGUUGAAUUCUCAAAUUUGUUAAAUUCACUUGUCUAU